rnacentral:rRNA from 1 species
AUUGAACGCUGGCGGCAGGCCUAACACAUGCAAGUCGAGCGGUUGAGGGGAGCUUGCUCCCUGAUUCAGCGGCGGACGGGUGAGUAAUGCCUAGGAAUCUGCCUAUUAGUGGGGGACAACGUUUCGAAAGGAACGCUAAUACCGCAUACGUCCUACGGGAGAAAGCAGGGGACCUUCGGGCCUUGCGCUAAUAGAUGAGCCUAGGUCGGAUUAGCUAGUUGGUGAGGUAAUGGCUCACCAAGGCGACGAUCCGUAACUGGUCUGAGAGGAUGAUCAGUCACACUGGAACUGAGACACGGUCCAGACUCCUACGGGAGGCAGCAGUGGGGAAUAUUGGACAAUGGGCGAAAGCCUGAUCCAGCCAUGCCGCGUGUGUGAAGAAGGUCUUCGGAUUGUAAAGCACUUUAGGUUGGGAGGAAGGGUUGUAGAUUAAUACUCUGCAAUUUUGACGUUACCGACAGAAUAAGCACCGGCUAACUCUGUGCCAGCAGCCGCGGUAAUAC